rnacentral:rRNA from 1 species
CGUCAAAUCAGCACGGCCCUUACGUCCGGGGCGACACACGUGUUACAAUGGUAGGAACAGAGGGCAGCUAUUAUGUGAAUAAGUGCGAAUCUCAAAACCCUAUCACAGUUCGGAUUGGAGUCUGCAACUCGACUCCAUGAAGCUGGAUUCGCUAGUAAUCGCGCAUCAGCCAUGGCGCGGUGAAUACGUUCCCGGGCCUU